rnacentral:rRNA from 1 species
CCUACGGGUGGCUGCAGUGGGGGAUAUUGCACAAUGGGGGGAACCCUGAUGCAGCGACGCCGCGUGAGUGAAGAAGGAUUUCGGUAUGUAAAGCUCUAUCAGCAGGGAAGAAAAUGCCAGUACCUGACCACGAAGCCCCGGCUCACUACGUGCCAGCAGCCGCGGUAAUAAGUCGGGGGCAAGCGUUAUCCGGAUUUACUGGGUGUAAAGGGAGCGUAGACGGUUAGGUAAGUCUGGAGUGAAAGCCGGGGGCCCAACCCCGGGACUGCGUUGGAAACUGUGUAACUGGAGUACAGGAGGGGCAGGCGGAAUGCCUGGUGUAGCGGUGAAAUGCGUAGAUAUCAGGAGGAACACCGGCGGCGAAGGCGGCCUGCUGGACUGAAACUGACGUUGAGGCUCGAAAGCGUGGGGAGCAAACAGGAUUAGAUACCCUUGUAGUC